rnacentral:tRNA from 1 species
GGGGUUGUGGCUCAGUGGUAGUAGAGCGCUUGCCUAGCAAGUGCGGGGCCCUGGGUUCAAUCCUCAGCACCA